GAUCGUAUUAUUCUUUUUUCUUAUGCACAAAUACAAGCCGAUAUUGGUUGACAAAAGGAAAGACUUUUUGUUCUCGCGGAAAGGAAUUCUUCGAAAAGUACCUUUUUUUGUGUUCCCCGUUUUUAGAAUAAUUACAGUAUAGCUGGAAUUUGAAGUAGAUUGUGCUGACACUAGUUAAUUUUUUUCUACUAGUUAAUUUAUUUAUCCAUACUGAUUUACAAGUAUAUUGAAAUGUAACUCCGUCAUUAGCGCAUGUAAUACUUAGUACGUAGUAUAUAUGUGAGUAAAAAAGAUAAAUAUGGUAGAAAAAAUACUAAAAGGCUAUUAAAAAUGACGUUUUCUAUCUUAUAAAAGAAAUUUGAAUGGAACAGGAGAAUUAAAAUGAAACGAUGGCGAUUAUUAAUUUCAUUACUAGAAAGGAGAAAGACAAUGGGCAAAAAAAAAGAUGAGAGACAAUAAAUGAAGAAUGGUUGUAUUGGGCAGAUCACAUAACUCAACCACUCCUCUGACUAACUUUUAUAGACAACCCUCUUUUCGCCUUUUGAUUCCCUUUUCCAUUUCUUUCAUCUCUAUUAGUAACUUACUAUACUAAAUACUAAUAAAAUUACUAUUCCAUUUUUAUCUUUUGUGUGAUUUGAUCGUCUCUUUUACAUUCACCCCUUUUUUGUUUCCUUUUCACGGUCACUGAUUAUCAUCUUCCUUGUUUUUCCGCUUUGAUUUGGUCAAAUCGUCGCAAAGCCAAAGUAAAUAAAUCAGUAAAUGAAUUCUUAUAAAUUAUGAUGGGCGUGAAACAAACAAAAUUCAAGGAAAAUAGAGGGUACGGACUACGUUCUUGAUUUUACUUUAACAAGUAAAAUAGCAUGGUAAAAUGAGAAAUCCAUUGACAUGUCUCAAAAAGUAAAUCCAAAUGUUUACGUUGAAAUCUUGAAACUUGAAAUAUAUUUACACUGUUUGACCAAAACAUAAAUACAAAAAUAUAUACACAAGUAAAUAGGUCUGGGACCCAGCCACCCAGAACCCAUGUUUAUUUUGUCUUGUAUAGCUUUGGCUCUCUCUCCACUUACUUACUCUCUUGAGUUUUUUUCUCUUCUUAAAAACCUCUUCUUUUUCUUAUCCUUCUCAUCGUUCUCUUCAUCAUCACCACCACAUUCUUCUCUCUUUCUCUCCCUCUCUUUCUUCCUUGAUCUCAGCCGGAUCUGAUGGGGGAUAGAAAAUAUAUGUCUUCAAGAUCUUCUGAGUUUCAGGUGGGUUUGAUUUUUUUGUAACAGAUUGGUGUAAUGAUGAAGGAUUCUGACUCAUGUGAGAAACUAAAAAGUCUAUCAUCAUUACUAACUUUUUCUCGUUUUUUUUUUCUUUCUCUAGCUAUAAUUUUGUAAUGAUUUGUUUUUUAUGAUGUCAGGACAAGUUAGCAUUCAGAGAGACUAAAUCUAUUCAUGGUCAUGAUUAAUGAGGGUUAUUUACUUUCGGAUCCGUCUGUUUCUAAAAAAUCAAACCAGAUCUACUAGAUCUGAAGCUAGAUCUGAAUCUUUCAAAUUACUGCUGUAUUUAUGUUGUUAGUACAACUACUAGCCUUAGGGUUUCAUCAUUCCAUAAACCAUAUUUACUUCAACAAUAAAAUAAUUAAAAUUUGUAGAUUCUCGCAUUGUUUUCUUUUUCCUCUGGUUAAUGUUAUUGUUCUAUUCACACUGACAUUUUGUCUUCAUCAGUUACUUCAAGCAUAGAGGAUCAAGAAACUCUAUCGGAUUUUGUCUCAUUUUGAAAUAUUGUAAAUGUAAUAAUCUCUUUCUAUCUCAUACAAUUGUCAAUUUAUAGCUGA